rnacentral:rRNA from 1 species
AGUGAACGCUGGCGGUAGGCCUAACACAUGCAAGUCGAACGGCAGCACAGUAAGAGCUUGCUCUUACGGGUGGCGAGUGGCGGACGAGUGAGGAAUACAUCGGAAUCUACUUUUUCGUGGGGGAUAACGUAGGGAAACUUACGCUAAUACCGCAUACGACCUACGGGUGAAAGCAGGGGAUCUUCGGACCUUGCGCGAUUGAAUGAGCCGAUGUCGGAUUAGCUAGUUGGCGGGGUAAAGGCCCACCAAGGCGACGAUCCGUAGCUGGUCUGAGAGGAUGAUCAGCCACACUGGAACUGAGACACGGUCCAGACUCCUACGGGAAGCAGCAGUGGGGAAUAUUGGACAAUGGGCGCAAGCCUGAUCCAGCCAUACCGCGUGGGUGAAGAAGGCCUUCGGGUUGUAAAGCCCUUUUGUUGGGAAAGAAAAGCAGCAGGUUAAUACCCCGCUGUUCUGACGGUACCCAAAGAAUAAGCACCGGCUAACUUCGUG